GACGGAGGAUGCAAGUGUUAUCCGGAAUCACUGGGCGUAAAGCGUCUGUAGGUGGUUUAAUAAGUCAACUGUUAAAUCUUGAGGCUCAACUUCAAAAUCGCAGUCGAAACUAUUAGACUAGAGUAUAGUAGGGGUAAAGGGAAUUUCCAGUGGAGCGGUGAAAUGCGUAGAGAUCGGAAAGAACACCAACGGCGAAAGCACUCUGCUGGGCCGACACUGACACUGAGAGACGAAAGCUAGGGGAGCGAAUGGG
rnacentral:rRNA from 1 species